GCCGGGUGUGGUGGCUCACACCUGUAAUCCCAGCAAUUUAGGAGGCUGAGGCGGGUGGAUCACCUGAGGUCAGGCAUUCCAGACAAGCCUGACCAACAUGGUGACACCCCAUCUCUA
ensembl:misc_RNA Metazoa_SRP Metazoan signal recognition particle RNA